rnacentral:rRNA from 1 species
CCUACGGGAGGCAGCAGUGAGGAAUAUUGGUCAAUGGGCGGGAGACUGAACCAGCCAAGCCGCGUGAAGGAUGAAGGUACAGAGUAUCGUAAACUUCUUUUAUAAGGGAAUAAAGACAGGCACGCGUGCCUGGAUGUAUGUACCUUAUGAAAAAGGAUCGGCUAACUCCGUGCCAGCAGCCGCGGUAAUACGGAGGAUCCGAGCGUUAUCCGGAUUUAUUGGGUUUAAAGGGUGCGGAGAUGGGUUGUUAAGUCAGUGGUGAAAGGUCGGGGCUCAACCCCAGGAUGGCCAUUGAUACUGGCAGUCUUGAGUACAGUUGAGGUAUGCGGAAUGCGUGGUGUAGCGGUGAAAUGCUUAGAUAUCACGAAGAACUCCGAUUGCGAAGGCAGCAUACCAAC